UGAACAAUUACACUGUAAGCAAGCGCAAAAAAAUUAUUUCUGUUAUACAAAUUAUGCUCUCUCAUUUUGUGAGAAAAAAUCAGACAAAAAUUGCAAGUUUUCGAAGUUAAUAGCUUAAAAGUUUGAUUUUUUUAUUCUUUAAAAAAAAAACAAUUAAAUAAAAAAUAAUGUUGAAACUACUGAUAGUAAUUUUAUCAAUCUUACUCUCCAUAUGGAAAAUUAAUGCUGCUAAUUGUUAUGCGGAGCACGGGCCUUGCGUAUACGAUAAUGUAUGUUGUAAAGGAUUGAAUUGUCAAGGUCCGGCAGGCGCUAGAUCGUGCAGGUGGUAGCAAGAAAAAAUAUAAAAUGGAAACAUUUUUAUUCCUUCAAUAAAUAUUUCUGAAAUUCGAU